rnacentral:lncRNA from 1 species
GAAACCGGGACGAGUAAAUAAGGAGACAGAUGCUGAGCACAGUGCCAGGGGAAUGAGCGUGCAGGAGGGCGCUGGGGCCAGAGAAGCCUGCUUGUGCACGACGGAAGUAUUUGAUAGACGAGGACAGGGACCACUGACCAGGACAACUCCUGGAGCUCACUGCACAAGAGUCUGAGGGCUGGGAGCAGAGGAGAGUAAAACCUGCAUGAGGGCAAGAGUGCUUCCUGUCCCACUUUCUGCCGUGAUGAGAAAGUAGAGGGAUCGAUGAGUGUCCACAGGAAUCCGGAGGUGGAGGAAGAAGAGCACGGAAUGUUCGAGGCUUUCAGAACCUCCCAGAUUUUCACACUCGCUCCUGUUCCACACUAUUCGGGGUCAUUCUGUGUAAACGAACCGGCAGCUCUGUGAAGGCAGGAGCCAUGUCCCACUAUGCCCCCCAGCACCUAGCACACAGUAAGUGCUUAAUAAGUGAGAGAAUGUGUGAGUGAAUGAAUGGCAACCUAACCCAGAUUUU